rnacentral:rRNA from 1 species
GCGUAGGCGGUUUAAUAAGUGAAUAGUGAAACCUGGUGGCUCAACCAUACAGACUAUUAUUCAAACUGUUAAACUCGAGAAUGGUAGAGGUAACUGGAAUUUCUUGUGUAGGAGUGAAAUCCGUAGAUAUAAGAAGGAACACCGAUGGCGUAGGCAGGUUACUGGGCCAUUUCUGACGCUAAGGCACGAAAGCGUGGGGAGCGAACCGGAUUAGAUACCCGGGUAGUCCACGCCGUAAACGAUGGAUACUAGCUGUUGGAGGUAUCGACCCCUUCAGUAGCGAAGCUAACGCGUUAAGUAUCCCGCCUGUGGAGUACGGCCGCAAGGCUAAAACAUAAAGGAAUUGACGGGGACCCGCACAAGCGGUGGAUUAUGUUCUUUAAUUCGAUGAUAACCGAAGAACCUUACCAGGGCUUGACAUCCAGGGAAGGUCUGCGAAAGCAGACUGUGCCUUUUGGAACCCUGUGACAGGUGAUGCAUGGCCGUCGUCAGCUCGUGUCGUGAG